AAACAGCAGCCAUUUCUGAUCUUUAUUUACUAAAUGAAAACACAAAUGGCAGCCGCGGAUUUUUGGCUUGGUGCCAGGGAGGCAGCGUCGGGGGAUGGGGCCGCGUUAAGCUCUGAUCUGAGAAGCCGGCAGUCAAAGCGGUCCAUGUAGACGAUGUCGAAGGGCACGACUUUCAGCAUGGGCUGGGCUUCGAGUCCCAAAGCCAAGCCUUUCUCAGUAAUUACUCCCAAACUCUACUACCUGAAGUCCAAUUUAGGUUCUUCAGCAGAAGGAUUUUAGUUUGUUUCCAAGAAUGAGAAACUUUGUGUCUGCCAGUGAUGAAGGGACUGGUUUAGAACAUCUUAUGGUCAGAACGUUUCAAAGAUUAUCAUCUAUUGCAACUUCUCGCCAAGGGCAAGAAUCUCUCUUGAAACAUCUGACAAUUGAUGCUGUAGGAGUUCACCAUCGCACGUGUUCAGAUAAUUGGGUUGAAAGGGAACAACUGAAUUUCUGGAGCCACAGAACAAGGCCUUCGUUCCUCCACUCUGUCGACAUGAGUUGUUCUUCUGGGGCCUUCAUCCUCUGUCAUUCGUCCAGUGAGGCAGGUGCAUGGGAGCCCCAUCAUUGGCCUGAAGCUGUAAAAUGCAAGGUUCACCCACAGGUGUAAGCCGAAUAGAGAAGAUAACUUUCUGAAACUGAAGGAAGUUGGAAGGAGAGGUGAGGGCUAACACGAGCAUCUCUGCAGUGAAAGGCAGGGCGAGAGGAACCUUCCCUAUUCUCACUGAUAGACACUGAAGAGAGGCCACCAUGUGAUAAAGGAACCACCUUUGCCAUCAUCUCCUUGUUGAAAUUGAAGAAAUGAAAUGAGCGCUGACGGAGGUUCAGUGUGACGAUGGCAGCGAAGGUGUCAGAUGGACAGUGAAGCGAAGUGCCUGCGCAGCACGAGGUGGGGAGAAGGUAUCCGAGUGGGUACGGGAGCCUGGGGUCAGGCCUGUCCCGACCACUGACGCGCUCAGGAAGCAUAGCACACAACUUCCCCUUUCUGGGGCAGACUUCAUAUCUCAUUAAAGCGGAUGAAACAGCUCAGCUUGACAGAGGCAGCUGGGCUUCAUGUCACACUGAGAACAGCUCGCAUCCCACCGCCAAGCCCGUGGGCAGCCCGCAGCCAACAGCUGCACAGCCUUCCAGUUGGGCCCCGGCUCUGCCCUUUGGGUCACUUUUUCCAGCUCAGUCACAAUGAAAUGUCUCCUUCUUCCAUAUAAACCUGGGGCUGUGCCCCCGCCCGCCUCUCCCAUCACCCACACUUCCCCCAGGUCCUAAAACAAGCCACUUCCUCAAGACUGGAGGCCCACCUUAGCAAGUGUGAGAGCUACGCUGAUAACUAACUAGGAGGCUAAUUGAAAAUAUUUUGGAGUUUGCCUGCUAGAUCUGUCAAAUCAAGUAAAAAAUCAUUCUUAUCUACCCUAACCAGCAGUUAUGCAAAUCUGCCAAUGGCAUUAAUUAAAGGACUUCCUUACUUCUCAGAGCAUUUAUCAUAAAUGAGGAACAGGAACUUUCAGGGGCCUAUUUCCUUCUCUCCAGCAGCCAUAGCCCCAUCUGGAUUAAUGCUACAUGGGCAGAGUCUUACCCUGCAAGGCGGGGGAUUUGACUCCUUGUGAGCAGACAUUUGAGUUCUGUAUUUGUGGGGCACUGUGUGUUUACCAGGUGUCAGGUCAGAUGGGCUAGGCUGUCCUCCACGUGAACCUUCAGAUUUCUCACAUCAUUCCUUGAGCUUUCAACCUUGACCCUUUGUGGUGGGCAGAGUGGAUGCGCACGGAGCAAUUUUACAUCCAUUAUCCUUUUUGACUUUCAGAACAGCUCUGUGAUGUUGGUCUUUAUCCCUGCGCUGCAGAUGAGAAAGUUUGGACUGCCUUGCUGUAAAACAGAGUUGACCAAAAUUUUUGUAAAUAUUUUUUACAGUAAAUAUUUUAGGCUUUGUGGGCUGUAAGGUCUCUGUCACAACUCUCCACUCUGCCAUUGUAGCAAGAAAGCAGAUAUAGACACUGAAUAAACAAAUAGACAUGACUGUGUUCCCAUAAAACUUUCUUUACAAAAACGGGUGGUGGGCCAUAGUUUUCUGACCGCUGCUGUAAAGCACUGAGAUUGUUGGGGGAAAAAGAUAUGUUUGAUAAAUAGAAAACUUUAAUGAGGGGAUUCGUUAUAAGCUCAAUAAAUAUUACUGAGCAUUCACUCUGUGUCCGGCACUGAAAGGAAAACAGAUAAAUCCAAGAGCUCAUAGUAUGUUGGGGGAAAUAUCUACAUGAAUUCACAUCACUGUCGUGUAAGGCCCAGAGUGCUCAGGGCCAUUAGAGGAGGCAAAUGGGACUCAGAAUCCAGAACAUCUGGAACAUGAAGGAGCUAUCCGGAGGAGGUUACGUGUUAGCUGGACUUUGAAGAACAACUACGAUGGAACACGAAGCCUUGACCGUGGGGCCGGGGAAGACGUACUUGUUGGAAGGUCAGCAUGAUCCAUCGUGUUUCCCCUCCUCAUCCUGCUCCUCCAAUCAAUAGAGACCAGGUACUGACAGCCUCAAAUGUGGAAAUGUCCGGGAUUUCUCCUGAGCCCUGAAGAGCCCUGGUGUCCCAACACCCCAGGAAUUGGACAGAGAAUUCUACAGUUGCCUUCGGUCUAGAUCGUGACAGACGCAGAUACUCACCUGCUUUGAUCACUGACUGUGCCCAGAAAAGCGCCUGGCUCCUAAUGCAACUGAAUAUGUAUUUGUGGAAUAAAUGAGUGUAUAUUUUAGAAAAAUCACUCUGGUAACAAUUUGGAAAAUAGACUUGAAGGGAAGAAAUCCGUGCUUUUAGAAAGUUCUCUCUGGCUAGAUGGUGCAGUGUGGAUUGGACACAGAAACCCCACAGUCUCUUGGAACACCAAACCCUGCAGGCUGUUCGAUGAGGUGAAUUCCACAUGAUUAUAGCCUAGAAGUGGCUUGGAAGCUUUCUUCACUGAGUCCGACAGACUCAGGAUCUCAUGAAUGCAGCCUCUACUGGAAGACGUUGCACAAACGCAAUGUUCCUUGGGUGCUGAAUGUAUGUGAAUUUAUGGCGCAUGUAGUUUGCAUUUUCCUAUUAAACGGGGAACAUGUAAACAGGGCAGGUCUUCACUCAAAACAUUAUGAGACUUGCUCCAGUUUCUCCCUAACCAGAGGGUAAUUUUCUGGAAGUCAGGGCCACCUUGUGUCUCCAGAGACCAGAGGAGAGCUGAACUGAAGAGUCUGAGACAGAGCUGCAGCAAAGCCUCAGGAGCUUCCUCAGUUCUGUGCUUUUAUUAGAGAGCGGAACAGCGACCACCGUGUGGGCGGAGCAGGUCAGCUGGGACUACAUCCAAAGGAACGGCUCUGCUGCUCAAGACGUUACCAGAAUCCUAAGGUGCUGAGGGGAGGUUUCAGCGUGGCUAAAAUUCGGAAAUUGCUGAGUUCAUGCAGAAGAAUGAAGACUCAAGUCCACAGGUCCAGGGCUAGCAAGAGACGAAACCAGGGGUAGGGUCAAUGGCUUCAUAGCUGUGAGACCACUGAUACGUGCUCUUCCUUUGAAGGACGUCUUCAGCCUCAGCUGCUUUUAUCUUUUAGGUUUCUAUGGCGCAUCUCAUUGUCCUGAUCCUGAAAACGGGGAUUUGGGCACUUAAUGGGAGUUUCAUGCAGUGAAAACAUUUCUGAGUCCUCUAAGCAGAGGCACACCUUUGUUAAUGUCCAUGUCCUCAGUUAAGCCAGGGCCGGUUCCUCUAGUGGGACUGGAGGUUCAGUAAUGGGGACAAUAUCCACAGCAACCCUGGAAUACUGUAUUCCACAGGUGGCAGUGGGGGUUAUGGGAGAAAUGUCUUCUUAGGAAGAGUUUUUCCUCUCCAGGACAGGGCCAGAAAAUGAGGCCUCCAAUUAAUUAAGUUUAAGGAUUCUAAUUUAACAUUUGGGGGACACUGGUUCUUAAACAUGGAAUGGGACAAAGCACCGCAACAGUACAAGAAGCCUGUGCUCAUCAUGGAGCGUUGACAGCAUUAGAUAUUACUUUGGUCCAGGACCCAGGAAAACAUAAAUUCUGUCAUGCUCAGUCUCUUCUUUUCCUUAUUAUGUAUUUACAAAGAUAUAUGUUUACACAGAACAAAGGCAAAUUCACAUUUUAUUGUUAGCUGGGGUUGAGACCCAAUCCAAUGCAGAGAACGUUGGCUGCCGGGCUGGAGCACUUUCCUCCCCGUUUAGAACGCAAGAGCUUCAGUCAAGGGUCAAUCCAACAUGCUGGUUAACCCAAGGGCAAAGAUAAGCAGAGAGAAAGAGACUCUUCCACGUGCCACGCUGGCCUAAACGCCUGGACUGUUGCUGUUAAAUUGAUCCGUUUUUUAUUUUAUG
ensembl:lncRNA